rnacentral:rRNA from 1 species
AUUGAACGCUGGCGGCAUGCUUUACACAUGCAAGUCGAACGGUAACAGGCCUUCCUGUGCUGUCGAGUGUUGGACGGGUGCGUAUUGCAUCCGAACGUACCCCCAGCUUGUGGAUCACGCAUCACAAGCUGUGCUCAUACCUCAUGUCAUCUGAUGUUUUAAGCCGGGUACCUCGCUGCAAUGUUUCGCCUUUCGCCUCUGGAACGGCCGAUUGCGGAUUAGGUAGUUGGUGGGGUAAAGUCCUACCAUACCGACGCUCUGUAGCUGGUCUGAGAGGACGACAGGACACACGGGAACUGAGACACGGCCCAGACUCCUACGGGAGGCAGAAGUGGGGAAUUGUGGACAAUGGGCGCAAGCCUGAUCAAGCAAUGCCGCGUGCGGGAAGAAGGCCUUCGGGUUGUAAACCGCUUUUGUACGGAAAGAAAAGGCUCUGGCUAAUACCUGGGGCUGAUGACGGUACCGUAAGAAUAAGCACCGGCUAACUACGUG